rnacentral:tRNA from 1 species
GGAGAGUGGGCCGGACGGUAAGGCACAGGUUUGCUAAACCUGCAGUACGCAAGUGCUGAGUGGGUUCAACUCCCACACUCUCCG